AUCCUUGGCCAUUUAUUGAUAAUGUGGACUUGGGGGACACGCUUCUAGUCUAGGAAAUAACAAAAUGAUCCCCUCAGUUUUAUUCAUUGGAUUCCCCUUUUCCUUAUGUAUGAUUCUCAGAUUUAUAUGCAACAGCAAAACAGUUAAUCAGAUACACGGGAGAGAGUAUGGAUGCUACAUUUUCCUGAAGCAUUUGGUGGCAGCUUUCCUAUCUGUGGCGGUUGGAGUUUCACACAGGCACAACUUGCAAAUGUUGGGGAACAUCCGGUUUGGUGAUAAAGGAAAAUAUGGUACCAGUGAUCUAUCGAAUUCACCUUUAGUCACAACAGCAUGUACUCGUCGCACCAUUACGCGAUGAAUGGAAAUCAGCUCAACCAGCAUGGUUGGUGGCCUUAGAGAUGGGAAUGUUAAACGUCACCCCACACUUGGCAGGGAGAGUAGUUGCUGCAUCUUCUCUAAGCACAACAUGCAGCAGAGGGAAAACCUCCGUUUUGGAGGUAAACGAUGCAGGAAACUAAUGAUCGGUCGACCUCACCACAGUUGAUGGCAGCUUCUGUUCGCUGCACCAUGAAGCUUUGGACCAUGAAAGCAAGAACAACCAAACUCGGCGUCAACCUUACUGGAUGCUGAAAUGAAGAGGAAAAAGAGAGCAACUUAUGCAAGAUAAUAAGCAAUUACCUGAAAAAGCGAAGAGAUUAUGGGAAGGGGAAUUAAGUGUAC